rnacentral:rRNA from 1 species
AUUGAACGCUGGCGGCAUGCCUUACACAUGCAAGUCGAACGGCAGCACGGGAGCAAUCCUGGUGGCGAGUGGCGAACGGGUGAGUAAUAUAUCGGAACGUGCCCAGUCGUGGGGGAUAACGUAGCGAAAGCUACGCUAAUACCGCAUACGAUCUAUGGAUGAAAGCGGGGGAUCGCAAGACCUCGCGCGAUUGGAGCGGCCGAUAUCAGAUUAGGUAGUUGGGGAGGUAAAGGCUCACCAGGCCGACGAUCUGUAGCUGGUCUGAGAGGACGACCAGCCACACUGGGACUGAGACACGGCCCAGACUCCUACGGGAGGCAGCAGUGGGGAAUUUUGGACAAUGGGCGAAAGCCUGAUCCAGCAAUGCCGCGUGCAGGAUGAAGGCCUUCGGGUUGUAAACUGCUUUUGUACGGAACGAAACGGCGAGCUCUAAUACAGUUUGCUAAUGACGGUACCGUAAGAAUAAGCACCGGCUAACUACGUGCCAGCCGCCGCCGCGG